GACUUAUCCAGAAAGGCGGAGGGACUUGGCCCUGCGAUGCCUUAGCAACCAACCUUGUUUAAAAACAAGGGAAAGGUGCUAAUUCCGGCUCCGGUUAUACACAUAACCAGAGAUAGAUAAGUU
rnacentral:ncRNA from 1 species